ensembl:snRNA U6 U6 spliceosomal RNA
GUGCUUGCUUUGGCAGCACAUAUAUAAAAAUUGGAAGAAUGCAGAGAUUAGCAUGGCCCCUCAACAAGGAUGACACAAAAAUCCAUGAAGCGUUCCAUUAAUUA